UACGUAGGGUGCAAGCGUUAAUCGGAAUUACUGGGCGUAAAGCGUGCGCAGGCGGCUUUGCAAGACAGAUGUGAAAUCCCCGGGCUCAACCUGGGAACUGCAUUUGUGACUGCAAGGCUAGAGUACGGUAGAGGGGGAUGGAAUUCCGCGUGUAGCAGUGAAAUGCGUAGAUAUGCGGAGGAAUACCGAUGGCGAAGGCAAUCCCCUGGACCUGUACUGACGCUCAUGCACGAAAGCGUGGGGAGCAAACAGG
rnacentral:rRNA from 1 species